ACUCUGCUGCACUACUCACCUCAUUAUAAAUACCCCAGUCUCACACACACUCACUGCCAGAUCGUACUCCGCAUUAUGCCAGACCUUCCAGCGGUAUUCCCCGGACUGAUUUCCCGUUGCUGACACCGCUUGUUUGGACUUCUCUGCCUUGCCUCUGCCCAGGUAACUGACUCAGCCUUCUGUCCCCGACCACGAGAUUAACCUUUGCUCCUCUUGGUUUUUGUCUGCCUGCUCAGCUGAAGGAUCAGCGCUCUCUCGAGUGGAAUAUCCCCCGGAGCAAGUUUCUGUGAACAUGGUGACAAACAACAUGUUACUGAGCCUCCUCUUUGUUUCAGGUGCGUGGGCUAAUUGUUUAAAGCACCUAUACGUUACUGCACCACAGGAGAUGGAAGCACUGAGUGGAUCUUGUUUGCUAAUCCCAUGUAACUUCAGUGCUGAACCCGUCAAGGAAUUCCACAGCACAAGAACAACCUUCGGAGUGUGGAUUAAGAAAGACUCCAGGUUUCGCAUGGAGCCAAACAAUGUGAUUUUUCAACAGUAGUGGGGCAGUCACCACAUAUCCGAUGAGAUUUACUGGAAACCUGAGAGAAAAACUGCACCACUUUAUUUUCUAGUUUAUGCAAAAUGUACACAGAUGUAUAUUUCUUCAGAGUUGAGAACAAACCAUUCAUGGCAACAGCUUCUUGUGAUCGUCUUCAAAUAAGUUCGAGGUGGUUGAAGUCAAAACGUUCAACUUUACAACGGACACAGAGCCUAACAGCUGAGGAGCCAGCUGCUCAAGAGCGAGCCAGAGCGACAGAAGCAGGAGACAUCCAUUACGGAGAGAUUGACUUCUCCAAGUUGAGACCGGGAAAGUCCUCGACCUCGGUGCAUGACAGUGGACAGCAGCAGGACACACUGUAUGCACAGGUAAAAGUGUCCAAGACAGUAAAGAACUUAACGCAGACUGCUGACAGCCCAGAGGAUCUCUAUGCUCAAAUGUUGUGAAAAUUAGUGUAUGAACAUGAAUUUUAUGAAUAAAUAUUCUGUUAUUCUUACAAGAAAAUAUGUUCUUCCAUUCUUUGCAAU